GCUUCCCUAGCUCAGUUGGUAGAGCAACUCAUUCGUAAUGAGUAGGUCGUGGGUUCGAGUCCCAUGGGGAGCU
rnacentral:tRNA from 1 species